UACGGGGGGGGCAAGCGUUGUUCGGAAUUACUGGGCGUAAAGGGCUCGUAGGCGGCCAACUAAGUCAGACGUGAAAUCCCUCGGCUUAACCGGGGAACUGCGUCUGAUACUGGAUGGCUUGAGGUUGGGAGAGGGAUGCGGAAUUCCAGGUGUAGCGGUGAAAUGCGUAGAUAUCUGGAGGAACACCGGUGGCGAAGGCGGCAUCCUGGACCAAUUCUGACGCUGAGGAGCGAAAGCCAGGGGAGCAAA
rnacentral:rRNA from 1 species